AUUGAACGCUGGCGGCAUGCCUUACACAUGCAAGUCGAAACGGCAGCACGGGAGCAAUCCUGGUGGCGAGUGGCGAACGGGUGAGUAAUAUAUCGGAACGUGCCCGGUCGUGGGGAUAACGUAGCGAAAGCUACGCUAAUACCGCAUACGAUCUACGGAUGAAAGCGGGGGGAUCGCAAGACCUCGCGCGAUUGGAGCGGCCGAUAUCAGAUUAGGUAGUUGGUGAGGUAAAGGGCUCACCCAAGCCGACGAUCUGUAGCUGGCUGAGAGGACGACCAGCCACACUGGGACUGAGACACGGCCCAGACCUCCUACGGGAGGCAGCAGUGGGGAAUUUUGGGACAAUGGGCGC
rnacentral:rRNA from 1 species